rnacentral:lncRNA from 1 species
GUGAGAGGGAGGUCGGCCUCCCUCAGCCUUGCUUCGGCUUCACGGAACCAAGGCUUCAAGCGACGACGUGGACUCCUGGUGGGCCUCUUCUCCAUGCAUGGAACUAGAGACCCCUAAAGCCGGAUAAAUCACAGGUUGGACCCAGAUGGAUACCUAACCGAAAUUAACUCAAGAAGAACUGGACAACCUGAAUAGCCCCCUCCCCUGCCACCGCAUCUCUUUUUAGGGCUGAACCUGCGUAUAGAAUUUCUUGGCUUAAGGGUCGAAUUGGAUCUGCAGCUGCUGGCCUAUAUCACAGCCACAGCAACACCAGAUCCGAGCUGCAUCUGUGACCUAUGCCAUAGCCUGCGGCAGGCAACCCAGGAUCCUUGACCCACUGAGCAAGGCCAGGAAGCGAACCCACGUCCUCAUGAAGACUAGUCAGUUUCAAUUUUCUUACACGCUGAUGGUGGCCUUUGACCUCUGGCCCAGUUUAACCGUUCCAGGAGAGUAUAAAUGUCAGCUGCUCUAGUCUUGGCUGCAUUACCACCGACCAGUCCUCAGCCGGCAACAUGAAGCUGGGUGGCCUCUGCCUCCUGCUCCUCCUCGCCGUCCUUCUCACCCUCAAUGCAGAGCUCCAGGCAGUUGGAUGUAGGUAUCUGUGUGACGGAGUGCAAGGUAGACCAGGACUGUGGGGCAGGAAGACGAUGCACCAGCAAUGGAUGUGGCCGGGUCUGCUCCCCAAUCCAGCAAAGAGGCCUGCGAGCACCAGUGCAGAGAAGACAGGGACUGUGGGAGUGGACAUCAGUGCGUGAGGAAGGGCUGUGGGCACGUCUGCGCCCCCGUCCAUCAAGUCGAUGUAGGUAUCUGUGUGACGGAGUGCCGUGUAGACCAGGACUGUGGGGAAGGAAGACUAUGCAUCAGUAAUGGGUGUGGCCGUGUCUGCUUCCCAGUCCGGCGAAGAGAGGCCUGCGAGCACCAGUGCAGAGAAGACAGGGACUGUGGGAGUGGACAUCAGUGCGUGAGGAAGGGCUGUGGGCACGUCUGCGCCCCCGUCCAUCAAGUCGAUGUAGGUAUCUGUGUGACGGAGUGCCGUGUAGACCAGGACUGUGGGGAAGGAAGACUAUGCAUCAGUAAUGGGUGUGGCCGUGUCUGCUUCCCAGGGCGAAAAGAGGGCUGCGAGCACCAGUGCAGAGAAGACAGGGACUGUGGGAGUGGACAUCAGUGCGUGAGGAAGGGCUGUGGGCACGUCUGCGCCCCCGUCCAUCAAGUCGGUAUCUGUGUGACGGAGUGCAACGUAGACCAGGACUGUGGGGAAGGAAGACAAUGCACCAGCAAUGGGUGUGGCCGUGUCUGCUCCCCAGUCCAGCAAGAAGAUGUAGGUAUCUGUGUGACGGAGUGCAAGGUAGACCAGGACUGUGGGGAAGGAAGACGAUGCACCAGCAAUGGAUGUGGCCGUGUCUGCUCCCCAGUCCAGCAAAAAGAGGCCUGCGAGCACCAGUGCAGAGAAGACAGGGACUGUGGGAGUGGACAUCAGUGCGUGAGGAAGGGCUGUGGGCACGUCUGUGCCCCCGUCCAUCAAGUCGAUGUAGGUAUCUGUGUGACGGAGUGCAAGGUAGACCAGGACUGUGGGGCAGGAAGACGAUGCACCAGCAAUGGAUGUGGCCGUGUCUGCUCCCCAGCCCAGCAAAGAGAGGCCUGCGAGCACCAAUGCAGAGAAGACAAGGACUGUGGGAGUGGACAUCAGUGCGUGAGGAAGGGCUGUGGGCACGUCUGCUCCCCCAUCCCUCAAGUAGGUAUCUGUGUGACGGAGUGCAAUGUAGACCAGGACUGUGGGGCAGGAAGACGAUGCACCAGCAAUGGAUGUGGCCGUGUCUGCUCCCCACCCCAGGGAGGAGGACUCUGUGUGGACCGCUGCCGAGGAAACUGGGACUGUGGGGCCGGAGAAGAAUGUAUCAGGAAGGGAUGUGGACGGGUCUGCUCUCCAGCCCAGGAGCCAGUGGUAGGUAUCUGUGUGGAUCAGUGCCAAAGACACUGGGAAUGUGGUCCACGGAUGCGGUGUGUCUCCACUGGAUGUGGCCACAUCUGCUCACCAGCCCAAGACCAAGUUGAACAGAGACCCGGAAAAUGUCCAGUGUUGCCAAAAGGAACGAUUGGACUUUGUGCUGAAUUUUGCUUCGGGGAUGACUCCUGUCCCAGCGGACAGAAGUGCUGCAGCAAUGGUUGUGGACACUCUUGCCAGACUGCUGUUCCAGACGAGAAAACCUUCCCUAGCCGUUUGGAUGACUGAUGAACCUUGGCCUCCUUCCAUAAUUGUUCCCACAUGUCACCUUUAUUUGAAGAGCUGGGCUUUUCCAGGAACUCCACCUUUGCCAGGAACCCCAGGAUCAUGGGGUGAGGUUCUAGAAUAACUUGGCUUAAGGGUUGAAUUCUGGCAAUUGUUCAAGGAAUAGUGCUUGCAAAGGAUCCUUCUUCUGAAUAAAACGACUUCUCUGGCAU